ACGACUCUCGGCAACGGAUAUCUCGGCUCUCGCAUCGAUGAAGAACGCAGCGAAAUGCGAUACUUGGUGUGAAUUGCAGAAUCCCGUGAACCAUCGAGUCUUUGAACGCAAGUUGCGCCCGAAGCCUUUCGGCCGAGGGCACGCCUGCCUGGGUGUCAC
rnacentral:rRNA from 1 species